AUAGAAAACGUCUAUGACGAAAAAAAUAUUUAUGCGUUUAAAUCUUUUUGGUGUUAAAAAGAUGAGAAGAGUUUACGAAGUGUUAUAAUGUGGAGGUUUUUAAGUAUCUACUGGCUGAAACUUUUUCGUUGAUAUUAAAAAUCUCAUAUAUCCGAAAACUAAUCCUUUUUUAUCUAAGGGAUUUAUUUUAGUUUGUUUCGUAUAUAUGGAAUCUUUAAUUUCAUCUUUCUUAUGUUUUUUUUUAUUUGGUAACUAGCCACCAACCUUUCCUAGAAAGUUUUGAACAUCACAACCUUUUUAAUCUGCUUUUUAGGUUAAUUAUAGCGUAUACUUAUUUCUAUAUCCCAAAAAGAAUAUAUCUAGAUGAAAAAGAGCUUAAAAUUAUAUUUUCACAUAUAUAAUGCCACAUAUAAAUAAGAUGCAUGUAUGCAUAAAUGAUUAAUGUACGAGCAUAACUCAAACUUUUAAACCAUACAACGAAAAUGCACUUCUUUUGCUGAUCUGUCACUGUUAGAUUGGUCGUUGUUCAAUACAGAAAUAACAAAUAAAUCAUUUUACGAACAUUCUAUCAUUACAGAAUAAUAAUCUAAAUCUCAUUUCCUUUGAAUAUUAUAUCAUUAUAGAAUAUUCUAUCAUUACGAAUAUUAUAUAAUUAUAGAAUAAUAGUCUAAUUCCCCCUUACAUUGCAUUCUCUCAUUAUUGUAAUUUAGUCAUUAUAAAUCAUUAUAGAAUAAUAGUCUAAUUCCCCCUUUAGAAUUCUAAAAAAUACCCACUAUGUAAUGCCACAUAUAAAUAAGAUGCAUUAUGCAUACAUGGCUAAUGUACGAGCAUGACUCAGACUUUUAAACUAUACAAGCACGGAACACUUUGUUUGCUGAUCAGUCACUGUUAUACUUGUCAUUGUUAAAUACACAAACAGCAAAUAAAUCAUUUUACGAAUAUUAUAUCAUUAUAGAAUAAUAGUCUAAUUCCCCUUCCAUUGCAUUCUCUCAUUGUUGUAAUUUACCAAAAUAAUACAUUACUAAAUGAAAGGAUAUGAAAUGCUCUAUUAGUGAAUCUGUAUAAGCAUUUGGCAUGCAAGAAAAACAUUGGUCAACUACGAUCUUCUGAGUUCACAGAACAUUAUAACAUAAAAUUAAAAACGUGUAUCCGUACUUGCAGAAAAAAACAAAUCAAAAAUAUAAUUUAAUCUAGAGAACCUUAUAAAAAACUUAAAUAUUGAAUAAAUAUAUAAAAAUGAUAUCUUGUAACACAAAAUAUUAUGGAUAAGUUUCAACGUUGGCUUAAUAGUUUACUUUAAUUAUAUAAUUCAUGAUACAAAUUACCAAUCUUUUUUUUGGAAUCUCAUAUCACCAAUCCCAUAACUAAAUAUAUAAAGACAACAACAUUAAUUAAAAUAUGAAAACAUUAAAUCAAGUUUAUUCACAUGGUUUAGGUUUGCCAUCAUCACAAUGUCCAGGUCCCGCAGGAUCAGAAGAUGAAGCACCACAGUCUUUUCCUAACCACUGUGAAUCCUUACCGAAUAAGCAAGAAGACAAAUGUACAAACGCUUGGUGCCUCUGCUUUAACUCCUCGAUACUCAAGCCUUCCACAUGAAUAUUCCACCACUUUUUGUCUAACUUUUUUUCAAUUACAAAUUCUUUCAGUUUCUUUUCCUUCUCUUUCUCCAUCUCUAGCUCCUUAGCGAGAUCAUAAUUCUUUUCCAUGAGGUUCUAGAUCCUGAUUGUUUUAUUUUUGGUAGGUGAAAUGAAACCAUCAGGGUCCCCAAUACAUAUAUAUAUAUAUAGGUAAAAAGAGAUAUAUGGAAGGAUGGUACAUUGUUUUUAGACAUUUAAUAUUCAUGAAAAGAGUAUUUUGACUAAUUUACAUAUUUGACUGGUAAACUGGCAGUCACUUUAAUAUAUAUAGAAACUCUUUAGUCAUUAUUAUAAAGUUAUAGUCAAUAAAUUACUAUGGAAAAUUAGUAAUUCAAUUGGUGAAAAUUGUAAGAGCAUAUUUACAAUUUUAAUACAAUGAGAAUUUGUCAAACUCAAAAAAUAUAUUGUUAUUUCUAUAUAACUUAAAUAUCAACUGAUUUAUGAUUUAAAAUUAAAAAUAAAUCUGUGAGAGAAUUAUUUCGUAGGAUUUUAAUGAAUUAAAGAUUAUCAUUUAUAAAUUUCAUCGCAUUUUUUUUAUUUUCGUUUAUAUUUUUGAACUUUUGAAUGGUGCCAAUGACAUCAACACACAUACACAGAAUUUUAAAAAUCAUGAAUAUGUAAUUCCAUAUUAAACAUAAAAUCACAUACAGUGAGACGAUAAAAUUUAAAUACUCAGUUAGAAGCAAGAAAAUUGUGGGAUAAAUAAAGAAAAAAAUGUGAGGGAAUUAAAAGAGGUUCAUCCAUUCUUAAAUUAAGGAACAAGGUUUUAUGACAAAGUAGUACUGGUUUGUUGAAGACUGAGAAGUGAAUAGGAAGAGAUGAAUAUAGUACAUUUUUGAUGAGUAAGAACACUAUGAAGACGAUGAAUCGACGGAUUAGUGAUAGGGUCAUUGAUAUUGUGGUCCAGGAGAUGAGCUAGUGAGAGAUACCAACCAAAAAAAUAGAAAACGUCUAUGACGAAAAAAAUAUUUAUGCGUUUAAAUCUUUUUGGUGUUAAAAAGAUGAGAAGAGUUUACGAAGUGUUAUAAUGUGGAGGUUUUUAAGUAUCUACUGGCUGAAACUUUUUCGUUGAUAUUAAAAAUCUCAUAGAUCCGAAAACUAAUCUUUUUUUAUCUAAGGGAUUUAUUUUAGUUUGUUUCGUAUAUAUGGAAUCUUUAAUUUCAUCUUUCUUAUGUUUUUUUUUUAUUUGGUAACUAGCCACCAACCUUUCCUAGAAAGUUUUGAACAUCUCAACCUUUUUAAUCUGCUUUUUAGGUUAAUUAUAGCGUAUACUUAUUUCUAUAUCCCAAAAAGAAUAUAUCUAGAUGAAAAAGAGCUUAAAAUUAUAUUUUCACAUAUAUAAUGCCACAUAUAAAUAAGAUGCAUGUAUGCAUAAAUGAUUAAUGUACGAGCAUAACUCAAACUUUUAAACCAUACAACGAAAAUGCACUUCUUUUGCUGAUCUGUCACUGUUAGAUUGGUCGUUGUUCAAUACAGAAAUAACAAAUAAAUCAUUUUACGAACAUUCUAUCAUUACAGAAUAAUAAUCUAAAUCUCAUUUCCUUUGAAUAUUAUAUCAUUAUAGAAUAUUCUAUCAUUACGAAUAUUAUAUAAUUAUAGAAUAAUAGUCUAAUUCCCCCUUACAUUGCAUUCUCUCAUUAUUGUAAUUUAGUCAUUAUAAAUCAUUAUAGAAUAAUAGUCUAAUUCCCCCUUUAGAAUUCUAAAAAAUACCCACUAUGUAAUGCCACAUAUAAAUAAGAUGCAUUAUGCAUACAUGGCUAAUGUACGAGCAUGACUCAGACUUUUAAACUAUACAAGCACAGAACACUUCGUUUGCUGAUCAUUCACUGUUAUACUUGUCAUUGUUAAAUACACAAACAGAAAAUAAAUUAUUUUACGAAUAUUAUAUCAUUAUAGAAUAAUAGUCUAAUUCCCCCUUCCAUUGCAUUCUCUCAUUGUUGUAAUUUACCAAAAUAAUACAUUACUAAAUCAAAGGAUAUGUAAUGCUCUAUUAGUGAAUCUGUAUAAGCAUUUGGCAUGCAAGAAAAACAUUGGUCAACUACGAUCUUCUGAGUUCAUAGAACAUCAUAACAUAAAAUUAAAAACUUGUGUCCGUACGUGCAGAAAAAGGUAAAUCCAAAAUAUAAUUUAAUCUAGAGAACCUUAUAAAAACUUAAAUAUUUAAUAAAUAUAUAAAAAUGAUAUAUUGUAACACAAAAUAUUAUGGAUAAGUUUUAACGUUGGCUUAAUAGUUUACUUUAAUUAUAUAAUUCAUGAUACAAAUUACCAAUCUUUUUUUUGGAAUCUCAUAUCACCAAUCCCAUAACUAAAUAUAUAAAGACAACAACAUUAAUUAAAAUAUGAAAACAUUAAAUCAUGUUUAUUCACAUGGUUUAGGUUUGUCAUCAUCACAAUGUCCACGUCCCGCAGGAUCAGAAGAUGAACCACCACCGUCUUUUCCCAACCAGUGUGAAUCCUUACCGAAUAAGCAAGAAGACAAAUGUACAAACGCUUGGUGCCUCUGCUUUAACUCUUCGAUACUCAAGCCUUCCACAGGAAUAUUCCACCACUUUUUGUCUAACUUAUUUUCCAUUACAAAUUCCCUCAGUUUAUUUUCCUUCUCUUUCUCCAUCUCUAACUCCUUAGCGAGAUCAUAAUUCUUUUCCAUGAGGUUCUAGAUCCUGAGUGUUUUAUUUUUGGUAGGUGAAAUGAAACCAUCGGGAUCCCCAAUACAAAUAUAUAUAGGUAAAAAGAUAUAUAUGAAAGGAUGGUACAUUGUUUUUAGACAUUUAAUGUUCAUGAAAAGAGUAUUUUGACUAAUUUACAUAUUUGACUGGUAAACUGGCAGUCACUUUAAUAUAUAUAGAAACUCUUUAGUCAUUAUUGUAAAGUUAUAGUCAAUAAAUUACUAUGGAAAAUUGGUAAUUCAAUUGGUGAAAAUCGUAAGAGCAUAUUUACAAUUUUAAUACAAUGAGAAUUUGUCAAACUCAAAAUAUAUAUUGUUAUUUCUAUAUAACUUAAUUAUCAUCUGAUUUAUGAUUUAAAAUUAAAAAAUAAAUCUGUGAGAGAAUUAUUUCGUAGGAUUUUAAUGAAUUAAAGAUUAUCAUUUAUAAAUUUCAUCGCAUUUUUUUUAUUUUCGUUUAUAUUUUUGAACUUUUGAGUGGUGCCAUUCAAAUCAACACACAUACACAGAAAUUUAAAAAUCAUGAAUAUGUAAUUCCAGAUUAAACAUAAAAUCACAUACAGUGAAACGAGAAAAUUUAAAUAUUCAGUAAGAAGCAAGAAAAUUGUGGAAUAAAUAAAGAAAAAAAUGUGAGGGAAUCAAAAGAGGUUCAUGCAUUCUUAAAUUAAGGAACAAGGUUUUAUGAUAGAGUUGUACUGGUUUGUUGAAGACUGAGAAGUGAAUAGGAAGAGAUGAAUAUAGUACAUCUUUGAUGAGUAAGAACAGUAUGAAGACGAUGAAUCGACGGAUUAGUGAUAGGGUCAUUGAUAUUGUGGUCCAGGAGAUGAGCUAGUGAGAGAUACCAACCAAAAUAAAUAGAAAACGUCUAUGACGAAAAAAAUAUUUAUUCGUUUAAAUCUUUUUGGUGUUAAAAAGAUGAGAAGAGUUUGCGAAGUGUUAUAAUGUGGAGGUUUUUAAGUAUCUACUGGCUGUAAUUUUUUCGUUGAUAUUAAAAAUCUCAUAGACCCGAAAACUAAUCCUUUUUUAUCUAAGGGAUUUAUUUUAGUUCGUUUCGUAUAUAUGGAAUCUUUAAUUUCAUCUUUCUUAUGUUUUUUAUUUAUUUGGUAACUAGCCACCAACCUUUCCUAGAAAGUUUUGAACAUCACAACCUUUUUAAUCUGCUUUUUAAGUUAAUUAUAGCGUAUACUUAUUUCUAUAUCCCAAAAGGAAUAUAUCUAGAUGCAAAAGAGCUUAAAAUUAUAUUUUCACAUAUAUAAUGCCACAUAUAAAUAAGAUGCAUGUAUGCAUAAAUGAUUAAUGUACGAGCAUAACUCAAACUUUUAAACCAAACAACGAAAAUGCACUUCUUUUGCUGAUAUGUCACUGUUAGAUUGGUCGUUGUUCAAUACAGAAACAACAAAUAAAUCAUUUUACGAACAUUCUACCAUUACAGAAUAAUAAUCUAAAUCUCAUUUUCUUUGAAUAUUAUAUCAUUAUAGAAUAUUCUAUCAUUACGAAUAUUAUAUCAUUAUAGAAUAAUAGUCUAAUUCCCCCUUACAUUGCAUUCUCUCAUUGUUGUAAUUUAGUUAUUAUAAAUCAUUAUAGAAUAAUAGUCUAAUUCCCCCUUUAGAAUUCUAAAAAAUACCCACUAUGUAAUGCCACAUAUAAAUAAGAUGCAUUAUGCAUACAUGGCUAAUGUACGAGCAUGACUCAGACUUUUAAACUAUACAAGCACAGAGCACUUCGUUUGCUGAUCAGUCACUGUUAUACUUGUCAUUGUUAAAUACACAAACAGCAAAUAAAUCAUUUUACGAAUAUUAUAUCAUUAUAGAAUAAUAGUCUAAUUCCCCCUUUCAUUGCAUUCUCUCAUUGUUGUAAUUUACCAAAAUAAUACAUUACAAAUGAAAGGAUAUGUAAUGCUCUAUUAGUGAAUCUGUAUAAGCAUUUGGCAUGCAAGAAAAACAUUGGUCAACUACGAUCUUCUGAGUUCAUAGAACAUCAUAACAUAAAAUUAAAAACUUGUGUCCGUACUUGCAGAAAAAGGAAAUCCAAAAUAUAAUUUAAUCUAGAGAACCUUAUAAAAAACUUAAAUAUUUAAUAAAUAUAUUAAAAUGAUAUCUUGUAACACAAAAUAUUAUGGAUAAGUUUCAACGUUGGCUUAGUAGUUUACUUUAAUUAUAUUAUUCAUGAUACAAAUUACCAAUCUUUUUUUUGGAAUCUCAUAUCACCAAUCCCAUAACUAAAUAUAUAAAGACAACAACAUUAAUUAAAAUAUGAAAACAUUAAAUCAAGUUUAUUCACAUGGUUUAGGUUUGCCAUCAUCACAAUGUCCACGUCCUGCAGGAUCAGAUAAUGAACCACCACCGUCUUUUCCCAACCAGUGUGAAUCCUUACCGAAUAAGCAAGUAGACAAAUGUACAAACGCUUGGUGCCUCUGCUUUAACUCCUCGAUACUCAAGCCUUCCACAGGAAUAUUCCACCACAUUUUGAUCUAACUUAUUUUCAAUUACAAAUUCCUUCAGUUUCUUUUCCUUCUCUUUCUCCAUCUCUAACUCCUUAGCGAGAUCAUAAUUCUUUUCCAUGAGGUUCUAGAUCCUGAGUGUUUUAUUUUUGGUAGGUGAAAUGAAACCAUCAGGGCCCCCAAUACAUAUAUAUAUAUAUAUAUAUAUAGGUAAAAAGAGAUAUAUGGAAGGAUGGUAUAUUGUUUUUAGACAUUUAAUGUUCAUGAAAAGAGUAUUUUGACUAAUUUACAUAUUUAACUGGUAAACUGACAGUCACUUUAAUAUAUAUAGAAACUCUUUAGUCAUUAUUGUAAAGUUAUAGUCAAUAAAUUACUAUGGAAAAUUGGUAAUUCAAUUGGUGAAAAUUAUAAGAGCAUAUAUACAAUUUUAAUACAAUGAGAAUUUGUCAAACUCAAAAUAUAUAUUGUUAUUUCUAUAUAACUUAAAUAUCAACUGAUUUAUGAUUUAAAAUUAAAAAAUAAAUCUGUGAGAGAAUUAUUUCGUAGGAUUUUAAUGAAUUAAAGAUUAUCAUUUAUAAAUUUCAUCGCAUUUUUUUUAUUAUUUUCGUUUUAUUUUUGAACUUUUGAGUGGUGCCAAUCAAAUCAACACACAUACACAGAAUUUUAAAAAUCAUGAAUAUGUAAUUCCAGAUUAAACAUAAAAUCACAUACAGUGAGACGAUAAAAUUUAAAUACUCAGUAAGAAGCAAGAAAAUUGUGGGAUAAAAAAAGAAAAAAAUGUGAGGGAAUCAAAAGAGGUUCAUGCAUUCUUAAAUUAAGGAACAAGGUUUUAUGACAGAGUAGUACUGGUUUGUUGAAGACUGAGAAGUGAAUAGGAAGAGAUGAAUAUAGUACAUCUUUGAUGAGUAAGAACAGUAUGAAGACGAUGAAUCGACGGAUUAGUGAUAGGGUCAGUGAUAUGGUGGUCCAUGAGAUGAGCUAGUGAGAGAUACCAACCAAAACAAAUAGAAAACGUCUAUGACGAAAAAAAUAUUUAUGCGUUUAAAUCUUUUUGGUGUUAAAAAGAUGAGAAGAGUUUGCGAAGUGUUAUAAUGUGGAGGUUUUUAAGUAUCUACUGGCUGCAAUUUUUUCGUUGAUAUUAAAAAUCUCAUAGACCCGAAAACUAAUCCUUUUUUAUCUAAGGGAUUUAUUUUAGUUCGUUUCGUAUAUAUGGAAUCUUUAAUUUCAUCUUUCUCAUGUUUUUUUUUAAUUUGGUAACUAGCCACCAACCUUUCCUAGAAAGUUUUGAACAUCACAACCUUUUUAAUCUGCUUUUUAGGUUAAUUAUAGCGUAUACUUAUUUCUAUAUCCCAAAAGGAAUAUAUCUAGAUGCAAAAGAGCUUAAAAUAAUAUUUUCACAUAUAUAAUGCCACAUAUAAAUAAGAUGCAUGUAUGCAUAAAUGAUUAAUGUACAAGCAUAACUCAAACUUUUAAACCAUACAACGAAAAUGCACUUUUUUUGCUGAUCUGUCACUGUUAGAUUGGUCGUUCUUCAAUACAGAAACAACAAAUAAAUCAUUUUACGAACAUUCUACUAUUACAGAAUAAUAGUCUAAAUCUCUUUUCCUUUGAAUAUUAUAUCAUUAUAGAAUAUUAUAUCUUUACGAAUAUUAUAUCAUUAUAGAAUAAUAGUCUAAUUCCCCCUUCCAUUGCAUUCUCUCAUUGUUAUAAUUUAGUCAUUGUAAAUCAUUAUAGAAUAAUAGUAUAAUUCUCCUUUUAGAAUUCAAAAAAUACCCAAUAUGUAAUGCCACAUAUUAAUAAGAUGCAUUAUGCAUACAUGGCUAAUGUACGAGCAUGACUCAGACUUUUAAACCAUACAAGCAAAAUACACUUCUUUUGCUGAUCAGUCACUGUUAGAUUGGUCGUUGUUCAAUACAGAAACAACAAAUAAAUCAUUUUACGAACAUUCUAUCAUUACAAAAUAAUAAUCUAAAUCUCAUUUCCUUUGAAUAUUCUAUCAUUAUAGAAUAUUCUAUCAUUACGAAUAUUAUAUCAUUAUAGAAUAAUAGUCUAAUUCCCCCUUACAUUGCAUUCUCUCAUUGUUGUAAUUUAGUCAUUAUAAAUCAUUAUAGAAUAAUAGUCUAAUUCCCCCUUUAGAAUUCUAAAAAAUACCCACUAUGUAAUGCCACAUAUAAAUAAGAUGCAUUAUGCAUACAUGGCUAAUGUACGAGCAUGACUCAGACUUUUAAACUAUACAAGCACAGAGCACUUCGUUUGCUGAUCAGUCACUGUUAUACUUGUCAUUGUUAAAUACACAAACAGCAAAUAAAUCAUUUUACGAAUAUUAUAUCAUUAUAGAAUGAUAGUCCAAUUCCCCCUUCCAUUGCAUUCUCUCAUUGUUGUAAUUUACCAAAAUAAUACAUUACAAAUGAAAGGAUAUGUAAUGCUCUAUUAGUGAAUCUGUAUAAGCAUUUGGCAUGCAAAAAAAACAUUGGUCAACUACGAUCUUCUGAGUUCAUAGAACAUCAUAACAUAAAAUUAAAAACUUGUGUCCGUAUUUGCAGAAAAAGGCAAAUCCAAAAUAUAAUUUAAUCUAGAGAACCUUAUAAAAAACUUAAAUAUUUAAUAAAUAUAUAAAAAUGAUAUCUUGUAACACAAAAUAUUAUGGAUAAGUUUCAACGUUGGCUUAAUAGUUUACUUUAAUUAUAUAAUUCAUGAUACAAAUUACCAAUCUUUUGUUUGGAAUCUCAUAUCACCAAUCCCAUAACUAAAUAUAUAAAGACAACAACAUUAAUUAAAAUAUGAAAACAUUAAAUCAAGUUUAUUCACAUGGUUUAGGUUUGCCAUCAUCACAAUUUCCACGUCCCGCAGGAUCAGAAGAUGAACCACCACCGUCUUUUCCCAACCAGUGUGAAUCCUUACCGAAUAAGCAAGAAGACAAAUGUACAAACGCUUGGUGCCUCUGCUUUAACUCCUCGAUACUCCAGCCUUCCACAUGAAUAUUCCACCACAUUUUGUCUAAUUUAUUUUCAAUUACAAAUUCCUUCAGUUUCUUUUCCUUCUCUUUCUCCAUCUCUAACUCCUUAGCGAGAUCAUAAUUCUUUUCCAUGAGGUUCUAGAUCCUGAAUGUUUUAUUUUUGGUAGGUCAAAUGAAACCAUCAGGGCCCCCAAUACAUAUAUAUAGGUAAAAAGAGAUAUAUGGAAGGAUGGUAUAUUGUUUUUAGACAUUUAAUGUUCAUGAAAAGAGUAUUUUGACUAAUUUACAUAUUUGACUGGUAAACUGGCAGUCACUUUAAUAUAUACUAGAUUUUGACCCGCACGCCCGUGCGGAUGUAUUUUUAAAAAAAAAUAUGAUGCUAUUUGAUUUUUAUGUCACUAUUUAGGGUUGGUAAAAAAACUCGAAUUCGAAGAAUUAAACCGAUCACAAUCCGAAUAAGUAGUACUAAAUCUGAACCGGAAUUGAUUAAAUAUCCGAAUUAUUCAAAAUUUUGGUAUUUGAAGAAUUGAAAUCUAUCCGAUCCGAACCGAAGUAUUUUGGGUAUCCAAAAUAGAUUUAUAUACUUAUAUAUAUUAAUUAUUUUUAGAUUUAAUAUAUAUAAAAACAUCCAGAAUAUAUAUGAUGUAAAUAUAUACAAAUAAUCAAACGUAAAUACUUAAAUAUAUGAUGUAAACUUUUAAGUUCGCUUAAAUGCUUGAAAAUAUGAUGUAAACUUCUAAGUUCGCUUAAAUACUUAUAUAUAUGAUGUAAACUUUUAAGUUCGCUUAAAUGCUUGAAAAUAUAUACAAAUAAUCAAACAUAAAUAUCUUAAAUA